AUUGGAUACACGUAGCAAUGGAGAAGACAACGAAACGACGCGCUGGCGUCACUGGCGUGCGCUAGGGCUACACAUGCGCAUUCCGGCGCCCCCAACUCCCACCCUCGAACGAACGGCCCGCCUCAAUAAGGUGAAGUGAAGAGAAGCACCAGCAGUGCUCCCAGACUGUGUUCUUGCAACACUGCCGGAUGGACUGUGCUCCAUGCUUCCUGUGUUCUCCCGCACCCUGAAUCUCAGCACUGUGAUUUCAGGGGAGAAGGAUAAUGCUGAAGGGCCAACUUGUUCUGCAGGAAGAGGGGGGGAAGACAUGGACAAAUGAAGAGGAAACAGGAGGAGAAAGGGCAGAGGAAUCCCAGAUUUUCAAAGGCAGAGUUGCAAAGGCAAUGUCAAAGAAAAGAGGUGUCAGGUAAGGAUGGGGGGCAGAGCAUCAAACUAUAGAAUAGAAACUUUGUAUUGUUUACAGCUUUUUGGGGGGCAUUCUGACCAUAUUUCACUUUUUUAUUUUAUUGAUUAUUCAAUGCCAAAUCUAUGACUGUAAAGAUGAGAAAGGGGCAAAAACAUAAGCAGACAGGAGACCAGCAGGGUUGCUGCCUCUCACCAGUUACUAGUAGCUUCCUGUUGGAUGCAAAAUUAAUGGCAUAUAGUCUAAGCAGAUUUAGGAUAACUUGUCUUGUUUACACAUAAGUCCCAGGCCUGAAACAGUUUUGCAUAUUUGCAACAAUUUCCAAUCAGCCAAAUAUCAGUCCUGAGUUCCCACUUCCCUACCUCAUCCCUUGAGCUGGCUCAAAAGAGAUGAAGACAGAGACUGAAUUUUCUUGCUAGAGAAUUAGAAUUACAAAAUUUAGUUAUACAGGUGUUUCUUCCAAAACCACAACAUACGUGUGUACUAUAAGAAUUUGUCAGAUGGUUUGUUCGCAGAACCACCUAUGUGGAUUCCCAUGCCACCAUGAAGACUUCUCUGUUUGUCAUGGAAUCUCCUAGACUUUUCAUAAGAUUGAGCAAUAUUUGUACCUGGUUACUGCCAAGUACACCUCUCAGCCUCUAUUGCCUGGCUUCCCCAAGCACCUUGAUAUUCAGGGGAGG